rnacentral:rRNA from 1 species
AUUGAACGCUGGCGGCAUGCCUUACACAUGCAAGUCGAACGGCAGCGCGGGGCAACCUGGCGGCGAGUGGCGAACGGGUGAGUAAUAUAUCGGAACGUGCCCUGGAGAGGGGAUAACGUAGCGAAAGUUACGCUAAUACCGCAUACGAUCCAAGGAUGAAAGCAGGGGACCUUCGGGCCUUGUGCUCCUGGAGCGGCCGAUAUCUGAUUAGCUAGUUGGUGGGGUAAAAGCCUACCAAGGCGACGAUCAGUAGCUGGUCUGAGAGGACGACCAGCCACACUGGAACUGAGACACGGUCCAGACUCCUACGGGAGGCAGCAGUGGGGAAUUUUGGACAAUGGGGGGCAACCCUGAUCCAGCAAUGCCGCGUGUGUGAAGAAGGCCUC